UACAGAGGGGGCAAGCGUUGUUCGGAAUUACUGGGCGUAAAGGGCGCGUAGGCGGCCCGCUAAGUCGAACGUGAAAUCCCCGAGCUCAACUCGGGAACUGCGUCCGAUACUGGCGGGCUUGAAUCCGGGAGAGGGAUGCGGAAUUCCAGGUGUAGCGGUGAAAUGCGUAGAUAUCUGGAGGAACACCAAUGGCGAAGGCAGCUCGCUGGGACGGUACUGACGCUGAGACGCGAAAGCGUGGGGAGCAAACAGGG
rnacentral:rRNA from 1 species